UGAUUUGUAGCUCAGUUGGUUAGAGCGCUGCACCGGAAAUGCAGGGCAGCAGGUUUGAUUCCUGCCAGAGGGC